rnacentral:rRNA from 1 species
GACGAGGUAGAUAGGUUGGAGGUGGAAGUGCAGCAAUGCAUGGAGCUGACCAAUACUAAUCGGUCGAGGGCUUAUCCAAGAAC